rnacentral:rRNA from 1 species
UACGUAGGGUGCAAGCGUUAAUCGGAUUUACUGGGCGUAAAGGGCGCGCAGGCGGUUCUGUUUGUCGAGUGUGAAAGCCCCGGGCUCAACCUGGGAACUGCGCUCGAAACGGCGGAACUAGAGUUCGGGAGAGGAGAGUGGAAUUCCCAGUGUAGAGGUGAAAUUCGUAGAUAUUGGGAAGAACACCGGUGGCGAAGGCGGCUCUCUGGACCGAUACUGACGCUGAGGCGCGAAAGCGUGGGGAGCAAACAGGG